AAGACUAUACUUUCAGGGAAAAUUUCUAUAUUAUGUGACUAGAGAAGUUUCUCUGAUCGUGUAGAGCAUUCGAAGCCACAAGGAGUAGCCAGAGCAUCCUCUCCUGAGCAUGAAGCGAGCUCUAGGUGUUGCUUCUGUGGCUUCCUCUUGCUAUUGAUGAUCGUUCUUCCAUUCCUCCGGAGAGGGUAGAGGGAGAGGUUGCAGUCUGAGUGGU